rnacentral:lncRNA from 1 species
ACUUGUUGGAAUUUUUGUUGUUUAAAUAUAUCACAUUUUUGCUUCUGUGUACCUCUGGAACACGGUAGUAUACUAAAAGGCCGAGAAGAAGGGGACACAAUCAAAUAAAUGAUAGUGAACAAGCGAGCAUAGCAGAAGAGGUACAACGAAGCACUAAGUGAAUCGCACAGAAAAGAAUUUGCUGUCGGUGAAUUCCAACCGUACCAGCGCAAUGAUUACAGAAACUCUACUCUUGGACGCGAACUCGGCUGUUUUGCGCCCCCUCAAGUACAGAAGUAUGGAAGAAGGAAAUAAACGGAAUGACAGGCAGCUUUGCCGCUUCACAGAGCUUUGGAAAAACUAUUUUCGUUCUAAAUAAAGCUUAUCGCAGAUAUACACAGGAGUUCGAGUUUUGUUAAGCUAGUUUCUGCUGUGACUAGAACGCACAUAUAAAAAAGAAUUUAAUUUUUCAAUAAAAUAUGGC